rnacentral:lncRNA from 1 species
UUUCAAUAUUUUAGGGUUGAUUACUGUGUUCAUUCACUACUAAUUUUUUUUUUUUUCUCUAGGGAGAACUUCUGAUGAUGCAGAUUUCUUGGGAAAUGUGUUGAUUUCACCAUAUUCAGGAAGGAUCGAUUAUCAUUUCUUGUGCCUAAGAGUGACUCAUCAGGACAAGAAUGUGGGUAAAGGGACUCUGACGAUAUUCCACAGCUGUAUUAUUGUCUCUUCAGCUGCAGCCUGCACUCAAGAGGGCAGGUGGCUCUUGCUGGACUGAAUCCAGAUUCUCCAUCUGAUCACCCAGGCAGGGACAUGUGACUUUAUGUGACUGAAAUGUCCUCUUCCUUGGUCUACUUGUUUUCUAGAAUAUGUUGCUCAAUGUGAAAUAAACCUUCUGAUG